GAUGAACGCUGGCGGCGUGCCUAACACAUGCAAGUCGAGCGGAUGGACGGAGCUUUUGCCUGGAUUCUGCGGGGGGCGGGUGUGUGAUUCACAGGAGUAUGCCUGGCAUUUGGGGAUGACAUCCCGACGCGAGCGCUUAUACCACAUCCGACCAGAUGUUGAACCUGGGGGAUCUUCGGACAUCACCGGAUCUGCUGAGCCUAGUUCGGGUUAGCUAGCUGGUGGGGUAAAGGGGUACUAAGGCGACGAUCCGUAACUGGUCUGCGAGGAUGAUCAGUCACACUGGAACUGAGACACGGUCCAGACUCCUACGGGAGGCAGCAGUAGGGAAUCUUGAGCAAUGGGCGAAAGCCUGACCCAGCCAUGCCGCGUGGUUGAAGAAGGUCUUCGGAUGGGAAAGCACUGUAAGUUGGGAGGAAGAGCAGUAAGUGUAUAACUUACUGUUUUGACGGUACCUACAGAAAAAGCCACGGCUAACUUCGUG
rnacentral:rRNA from 1 species